CUCCGAUGAUGAUCUCGCCAUGCUAAUACUGAUGCACCAGACUGACGGUGUGUCUCUCUGGGUGCAAGUGAGUUAGCCUCACCUUCUCAUACUGACUGGAUCAGUGUGUGCUGAGGAGA
rnacentral:snoRNA from 1 species